CUCUGCUCGCGCCCGGCCAGGGACCGGCGCGCUGUUCCGUCCCCCAGCUCCGCCGCAGAGUUCGGCGAAGCCGACGCUCCCUGACCGCGCUGCGUCUGUCUGUCCCGCGGGUCUGGAGAUCUUCAAACGAUGGAACACCGGCUUUGCCCUUCUGAGGGUCUCCAUCCCUUGGCAUUCUGCCUGCGCCCCUCAGCCUGGCCCUGGGCUAACCUCUCCACUGUGUCUCAUUCAGAAGAAGCUUUUCCUUGGGAGGAGAGGGCAUCCUUUUUCCCAGUCACAGAAUGUUUUGGUCUAAUGGACCUCAAGGCCCCUCAUGCGUCCACACCCCCAUGGCACCCUCGAAUCCCCUUGAUGGCUAAAAACACCAGCUUUGAAGUUUGUCAGAACGAGUUCCAGUCCCAGUACCACCACUUACAAACUGUAACCUCGGGCGAGGUACCUGACCUCCUAUACCUGGUGCCCACAUUUGUAGCACCAGGAUAGGGAACAACAGUCCCCACAUCAAAGGGUGUUGACGGGAUGAAAUCACACAAUAUAGGUGAGGCCCUCAGCAGGAUCCUGGCACACAGUAAGCACUCAAUAAAUGUUCACCCCACCACCAGCAACUCAGCAGGAAGACUCCGCAAAAGCAGCUAGCUAUUUCCAGAGGACUGAAUUCCUUGGUCCGAGCAGCUCUCACCAGUGAGAAAAUGUGUCUAAACUUCCACUCUCAGGGCCGAAAUUCGAUGCCUUGGAGCCACAGAGAACAAACGUCUAAUCUCUCCUGGACCUUUGACUUUUCAGAUACUUUACUUCUAUCACCUCUGCCCAAGGUCUUCUCAUUCCACAUCAGUGUCUCCCGUUCCUUCCAUUGUUCCUCCUCUGCCCUGGUUUUGAGGGUCUUUAUCCCUCUCACGCAAAUGGUAGAUUUGACUGUGAUUUCUUUAGAAUACAUCACCCAAGACUGAACCAAAUGUUUGUGGUAUCAUCAGAGCAAAGCAGGACUAUAGCUUCCUCCUUUUGGGACCUAUCGCUUUGCACUCCUGCGAUAAAGUUCUUGGCACCCAUACUGUUGACUCAUAUUGGGCUUGCAGUCAACCAAAACCUCCGCGUCUUUUUAAUAAGUGCUCCGCCAGAGCACUUCUACCCCUUCUUGUGCUUCUCAGCCAACUUCGCUUCAGGUCAGCUAAGGAUAGACCUUGGGCCCCUCACCUUCUAAAUUUCUCAGGAUAUAUGGAAAAGAGGAAUAGGGGUUGGAAGCUGGCAUAACACAAUCUUUAAACCAAGUGCAUUUGAAAAAAGGCCAGGGUGGCGGGGCGUGGUAGCUCACACCUGUAAUCCCAUCACUUUGGGAAGCCAAGGCAGGUGGAUCAUUUGAGGUCAGGAGUUCAAGACCAGCCUGACCAACAUGGCGAAACCCCAUCUCUACUAAAAAUACAAAAAUUAGCUGGGCAUGGUGGCACGCACCUGUAGUCCCAGCUACUCGGGAGGCUGAGGCAGGAGAAUCGCUUGAACCCGGAAGGCGGAGGUUGCAGUGAGCCAAGAUCACGCCACUGAACUCCAGCCUGGGCGACAGAGGGAGACUCCAUCUCCAAAAAAAAAAAAAAAGAAGAAACGAAAAAAGGCCAGGGUUUGUGUCUAAACACUAUGGUACUGAGAGAAAAACAAAUAUAGAGACACACACAAAUGAAUGUGAUCACAACUGUGAAAAAAAACUGCACACGCAAAAGACUACAGGGAAAUAUGUAAUUGAUUAUGUUGUUUUCUCUCAGUGAUAAGAUGGGGUGGUUUCUUCUUUGUACUUUUGUAUUAAUUUCUUACGGUGUUUGUAUUACUUUUAUAAUCAAGAACUUUGUUUUAAAAAAUAAAUCAGAAAAAAGAAUUUAAAAAAUCAGAGAGAUGGAAUAACUUGAAAAAAACUGAAAACAAAGUUAAAAGAUAACAGAAUAAGGGGAAAACUAUUCGCAAUACACAAAAGACAAAGGAUUUGUCUAUAAAGGACUCUUAACAAAUCAAUAAUAAAAAGAAUGAGGCCGGGCGCGGUGGCUCACGCCUGUAAUCCCAGCCCUUUGGGAGGCCGAGGCGGGCAGAUCACGAGGUCAGGAGAUUGAGACCAUCCUGGCUAACGUGGUGAAACCCUGUCUCUACUAAAAACACAAAAAAUUAGCUGGACGUGGUGGCAGGCGCCUAUAGUCCCAGCUACUCAGGAGGCUGAGGCAGGAGAAUGGCGUGAACCCGGGAGGCGGAGCUUGCAGUGAGCCGAGAUCCCGCCACUGC
rnacentral:lncRNA from 1 species